rnacentral:rRNA from 1 species
GUGCCAGCAGCCGCGGUAAUACGGAGGGUGCAAGCGUUAUCCGGAUUCACUGGGUUUAAAGGGUGUGUAGGCGGGUAUUUAAGUCAGUGGUGAAAUCUCCGAGCUCAACUCGGAAACUGCCAUUGAUACUAUUUAUCUUGAAUAUUGUUGAGGUAGGCGGAAUAUGUCAUGUAGCGGUGAAAUGCUUAGAUAUGACAUAGAACACCGAUUGCGAAGGCAGCUUGCUAAACAAUUAUUGACGCUGAGGCACGAAAGCGUGGGGAUCAAACAGGAUUAGAAACCCCCGUAGUCC